CUUUGGAUCUGACUACCCCUGAGCCCAUAGAGUCAUUUAUACAAUGGUUUAUGAAGAAAACGGCCGCUUGUUUUUUUCCAUGGCUGAAGAGGCAGGAAACUGAGCAGCAGUGGCCUAACUCUAUGGAAACUCCACCCGUGUACUGGCACCAUGGCUCUUUAAUUUGAAAAGAAAAAACCUUGAGAAGCAAUGAAAUACUCUAAUCCACAGAUAAAACAUCACCUAAAUCAUUAGACUUUUCAUAAAUAUAUAGACCCUGAACAAGGAUCAAAACAGCAUAAAUAUAGUGGGAUGAGACGAAGAUAAUGGUCAUGUUGUUAAAAGGCAUAAAGAGAGGGGAAUCCAGUGUAGCAUAUGCUGGAGAAACUGAGAGGAAUAAAACAGGGUCUGGCCAACAAGGAGUUCCCAUCUUCUGGAGGAUUUGAUGCAGUGAAAGAAGAGUGACAGAAGGAAAACAGCAAGAGGGGAACCCACGCAGAUCAUAAGGAGGGUACUCUAAAUGUGUCAGCAUCAGCCUCAUAAAAUAACUGUGGGCAUGUGAAGAAGAAAAGGAAAAAAGAGUGGCAGCCUGUUAAAGGAAGGUUUGAAGGAAAUAGCAACAUUGCUGCUUUGGGGACCCAGAUUCACCCAGUUUUCUGAGACCAUGACUAAACUUAUCUGAUAUCAAAGAUUUGGCAAAGAGGUUAAAAAGUAGGCACAUUCUUUCCUGUAAUCAUCGAGUGUGGCUGAAGAAAUAAAUAUGCUUUAUUUCCAAACAUGACUAGCAUUUUAAAAAAUCAGUUCAUGUUUACAAAAUUACCAGCUCAAAGAAAAUUUUUGCUUUUCAAGCAUUUUUCCACGG